AUACGGAGGGGGCUAGCGUUGUUCGGAAUUACUGGGCGUAAAGCGCACGUAGGCGGAUUAAAAAGUUAGAGGUGAAAUCCCAGGGCUUAACCCUGGAACUGCCUUUAAAACUAGUAGUCUAGAGUUCGAGAGAGGUGAGUGGAAUUCCAAGUGUAGAGGUGAAAUUCGUAGAUAUUUGGAGGAACACCAGUGGCGAAGGCGGCUCACUGGCUCGAUACUGACGCUGAGGUGCGAAAGCGUGGGCAGCAAACAGGAUUAGAAACCCCAGUAGUCC
rnacentral:rRNA from 1 species